CUGACCACACCUGUUGUUGAUCGGAGCCGACCAGCUGUAACUAAUUAACCGCCAUCUCCCGGGCUGCCUUCUUAACAGGGCGAUCGAGCUUCAGUCAGCGCUGGAUCAUUGUGUGAAGCACGGUGGAAAACGGAGAGAGAAGAUCACGGGAGCUGGACUGCCUUUUGGGAUUUCUGUUGGAAGGAGUCACUACGUGUGUUUUCACUUCAUGGCCACGAGCACUGCUAGGAGGAGAAGGAGGAGACCACACCGGGGGACCCCGUCACUACACAUAUAUUUAUUGAACUGCUGCACCUUUACCGCACUGUAAAUAAAUCCACUGUCUUUUCCCUAA